rnacentral:lncRNA from 1 species
UGGUUCACCUAUAACCACUUAAUCCACAAAAAUUAGUACCCCACAAAUAAAAUUAAAUCCUCAGUAUUUUGUAACCAUGAGGAUAAUCCCUAAAUCAUCUCCCCUUCUUAUCUCACCUAAGUUAUGUAUACAGGGUUACAGAUAAAACAGAGAUUUACAAAAUAUAGCUAUUAAUUUGUAAAUUAUGAUAGAGUGGUUUCUAGGCAAUUGGUAAU